CUAGCCAUUGGAUUUCACAAAGAACCCACUAAAUGACUUCUCCCAUCAUAUCUUGAUGUUCCCCAAGUUUUGGACUCAAUCCGAUAUCGAUUGGCCCAUGAAAUUUGACAAUUCAGGUUCGUACGAAGUUCAUUACGAAAUGGAGUGGUUGGAGUAUUGCAUAGUUCUAGAGAUUGCAUUUCACUCAAAACCCACCAAAUGACUCCCACCAUAUUAUGGUGUUCCC
rnacentral:lncRNA from 1 species